rnacentral:lncRNA from 1 species
AUGCUCGCUAUCCCAAGGUUCAUUGCGAUCCCAAGGUUCACUGCGGUUUUCCACAAGAUGCAGAAACUUUUGACAUAUGAAUUCAUUUUGACUAAGGAACUCUUCACAGCACUGCAGCUAAACAGUCACAACCUCACAGAGCUGCACAACUGCCCCACUCAGAUCAGUGUUGAAGCUGGAACCUCAUCUUGUGUACAGCAAAGGCAGAGCUGAAAAUUCACUGUUUGUCUUGUAUUGUGUGUGGCAAAACCUGGAAUAACACAUGGGAGCCCUCCAGGAAUUCCUGACACUUUACGCCCAAGUCUCCUCAUGCUAACCGGAUUGCAAUAUGACAGUCUAAUCAGCAUAAACACCUGGACUCACCAAGCACACUUUGGUUCUCAGUGUUUUGUAAAAAUAGUUUUUGCUAUUCUUCAGUAAAUACUUGAAUAUGUUUUGAACUUAUUCUACUUUUGAUGUUUAAGUUCAGAAAGUUGUUAUUAUAAACAUAAUUUGCAUUUGUCAUGAACUUGACUUCUUGUUAUUGUGAAAGCUGUUUAUUAUGAUGGCAUUUCCAAAGGCAUCAUUUGAAAAGAUUUUUUGCAGUGCAGUUUUACUUGAGCUUGACAUACCAGAUGUAUGACAUGAAUAAAUAUCACAAAAUAAAUAUAAUAAUAAUAAUACAAAAUAUACAUUUCCUUCAAUUAUAAUUGUUUUUAAUCAUUUAUAUAUGUAUGGUAAUAUAUUAUUGCAUUAAAAACUUAUAAAAUAUAUAUUUUUGGUUAAAAUAUAUAUUUUUGCAUUUUUGUGUGAUUUUUAUUAUUUAUUUUUAUUUGUGGCAUUAUAAAUAAAUUAUAAAUGUUUCAUUAAAAAUUUAUUGUGUUUAUUUGCAUUCUCGUUUACAAUGAACUACUAUUUAUACUAUUUAAUGGGCACUAUAUUUGUCAUUUAAGUUUGACAUAUAUUUAUAUUUGUAUACCUACAUGAUGCAGGGUUUAGUUGCAGCAAAUGCUUGAAAUGUUUUCAAACAUGAAGCUUUUUUAUUAUUUUAUUAUUCGUUUCAAAUUAAGUAUACUGCCUAUGAUCUGGUUUUACUAUGAUCAUUUUGCACAUCAGGUUACCCCCACAAAGUAAUCUCACGGUAAAUAUACAUUUGUAUUUUUAAUAAGACAAUAAAUAACAUGUAAUAUUAAUACACAUUUUGAUAUUUAAGUUAUAUUAUAAGGUUAUAAUCAACCUUCAGCCGGAAGAUUACCAAAUAGAGACAAAGUGUGACGUAGAUUGCGACGUUGUGAUUGGACUAUAACUUCAAAGCCAAAUUAAAAGAUCCUUCGUGUUGCUAACUAUGUUUUGCUAACUUUGCCACUUUACUAACAGUGUCCUUUAUCAAUGAGUUAUCGCUGUGUUUUAAAUAGUUAACGAUUAACCAAGAUCGUAACCCUAAACUUAACCCUAACUACACCUUUCAAGGAACUACAAUUUGUAGCGCCAUGUCUUUCCCCUCCCAUCUCUACAGCGACAAAGGAUUGUGGGUAAUGUAGUUUAAGGCCUUUUUGUAAUAAAAUGGAACAGAUACAAAUUUUAAUGAACUAAAGACUAUCUGAAUAAGGUCAUUGUGCAUAUAUUUAUGACAUAUAUGAAAGCCAGGCAUAAAUUUGUUAUUUUACAAUGAGUAUUUUUUAAACAGCUUUUAUUGACUUGAUCAGUAUAUAUCAGACUAUUAUAUCCAACAUUAUUUAUUGAACAUAGCAUAGGUAAUAGUCUUGCUGAUAUUCUCUCACUCAUUUCUCGUUUGAAAUGUGAAUACUUUUUCCUUUUCUACGGGGCUCUACUCAUCCCCUUUGAGUAAAAGGGCAGUUAACCUAUGUAGAUGUAUUAUCUUCAACAUGGACAAGAAAUUGUAUUGUCACAUGUACAGUUGUGGUAAAAAAAAAAAAAAAGCUGUAAAAAUAAGCUAAACAUUAGUAUCCUCUUUAAUUACAAGUUAUUAGCAAUAGUGAUCUAUGUUCAUCACAAAUGUUAUGAGUUCAGAAUAAUAUGUGUGGAUGUAAUUCUGUAAGUGUGUUUCAUUAAUGGUCAUCAUGUGAUAUUUAAUUGUUUUCACUUUAUUUGAAAUAUGGAUAAAAGCUCUUUUAAAAUAUGUAAAUGUUUAUAAAUAAAACCUUUUUAAAGACAUGUAUUUGUUUAAAAACCACUCUUUUUCUGAUUAUUUUUACUUUCUAAAUCUUCAACUGUUUGUGUAACAGUAUGAUUUGAUGACAAUGGAUGAACUUGUGUUUAAUAAUGAUUCCACAUAAUGUCUUUGUCCUGCAUGUGGGUUAAUUUGUUAAUUAUUUUCUUUAUGAUCAAAUGGUUGUAAGAUUUGCUGCAUUGUAAGAAUCAUGAAAAUAUUGAGAAAUGAGGUAACAAUGAUGAAAAGAUAUCUUUUCAAAUGCUGCGAAUAGUUCAAACCUCCAAAUGAUUAAAAAUACAUAGCCAUUAACCAACAAAAUAAAAAUGCAAACAUUUAAAUUAUCUAAACUAGAAGUAAAAUAGUUC